GUAGCAAAUUUAUAAUAACUAGAACUUUCUGGAAAGUAAGACCAUAGUGGGUGAUAGUCCCUUAUAGGUAAAAAAUAAAUUUGUUCUCGAGUAGGGCGGAACACGUGAAAUUUUGUCUGAACAUGGGGAGACCACUUCCCAAGCCUAAAUACUCCUUGAUGACCGAUAGUGAACUAGUACCGUGAGGGAAAGGUGAAAAGCACCCCGAUAGGGGGAAUGAAAUAGUAUCUGAAACCGAAUGCCUACAAGCAGUCAAAGCUUCUUUAUGAAGUGAUGGCAUACCUUUUGUAUAAUGGGUCAGCGACUUAGUCUGUGCAGCAAGCUUAAGCCAACAGGCGUAGGCGCAGGGAAACCAAGUCUUAAUAGGGCGAUUAGUUGUACGGAUUAGACUCGAAGCGGGAUGAGCUUAUUAUGAGCAGGUUGAAGGUUCAGUAACAUGCACCGGAGGACCGAACCAGUAAACGUUGCAACGUUUUUGGAUGACUUGUGAUAAGGGGUGAAAGGCCAACCAAAUUCCGCUAUAGCUAGUUCUCCGCGAAAACUAUUUAGGUAGUGCGUUGUGUUAAUGUUGUUAGGGGUAGAGCACUAGAUGGGCUAGGGGGAAGCGAUUCCUACCAAACCUAACUAAACUCCGAAUACUAGCAAUUUCUGCACAGCAGACAGACUAUAGGUGCUAAGGUCUAUAGUCGAGAGGGAAACAGCCCAGAUCACCAGUUAAGGCCCCCAAAUAAUGGCUAAGUGGAAAAGUAUGUAGAAAGUCCAAGACAGGCAGGAGGUUGGCUUAGAAGCAGCCAUCCUUUAAAGAUAGCGUAACAGCUCACUGUUCUAAUUAAGACUUUCCGCGACGAAGAUGUACCGGGGCUCAAGCCAUUUGCCGAAACUGUGACUUUGUAAGUAUUGCGAUACUUGCAAGGGGUAGCGGAGCGUUCUGUAAGCCGUUGAAGGUAUCUCGAAAGGGGUGCUGGAGGUAUCAGAAGUGCGAAUGCUGACAUGAGUAGCGAUAAAGAGUGUGAGAGACACUCUCGCCGAAAUCCUAAGGUUUCCUGCGUAAAGCUAAUCUGCGCAGGGUUAGUCGACCCCUAAGGCGAGGCAGAAAUGCGUAGUCGAUGGGAAACAGGUUAAUAUUCCUGUACCUGCUGUGAGUUGACGGAUCACGUAAAUUGUAUUUUCUUAUUGGAUUGAGAAUGCAGUGAAGUGGUUCCUGGAAAUAGCCACAGCUUAUAGAUCGUACCUAAACCGACACAGGUAGGAAGGUAGAGUAUACCAAGGCGCUUGAGAGAAUGAUGUUGAAGGAACUCGGCAAAAUGCCCUUGUAACUUCGGAAUAAGAGGGACCAAUUUUUAGGCAACUAAAGAUUGGUGGCACAGAAUAGGGAGAAGCGACUGUUUAUCAAAAACACAGGUCUCUGCUAAGUCGUAAGACGAUGUAUAGGGACUGACGCCUGCCCGGUGCCGGAAGGUUAAAUGGUGGAGUGCAAGCUCUAAAAUGAAGCCCCGGUGAACGGCGGCCGUAACUAUAACGGUCCUAAGGUAGCGAAAUUCCUUGUCAGGUAAGUUCUGACCCGCAUGAAUGGCGUAACGAUUUCUCCGCUGUCUCCAACAUCAACUCAGCGAAAUUGAAUUCUCCGUGAAGAUGCGGAGUACGUGUAGUUAGACGGAAAGACCCCGUGCACCUUUACUAUAGCUUUACAGUGGUAUUAGGAAAAUAAUGUGUAGGCUAGGUGGUAGACUUUGAAGCAGAAGCGCUAGCUUUUGUGGAGUCAAAAGAUGAAACACCACCCUUUAUUUUUUUGAUAUCUAACCAUCAUCCAUUAUCUGGAUGUGGGACCCUGUAUGGUGGGUAGUUUGACUGGGGCGGUCGCCUCCUAAAGAGUAACGGAGGCGCGCGAUGGUAGGCUCAGGCUGGUCGGAAAUCAGCUUUAGAGUGCAAUGGCAUAAGCCUGCCUGACUGCGAGACGUACAUGUCGAGCAGAGUCGAAAGACGGUCAUAGUGAUCCGGUGGUUCCGAGUGGAAGGGCCAUCGCUCAACGGAUAA
rnacentral:rRNA from 1 species